rnacentral:rRNA from 1 species
GGGUUGUGAGGUUAAGCGACUAAGCGUACACGGUGGAUGCCCUGGCAGUCAGAGGCGAUGAAGGACGUGCUAAUCUGCGAUAAGCGUCGGUAAGGUGAUAUGAACCGUUAUAACCGGCGAUUUCCGAAUGGGGAAACCCAGUGUGAUUCGUCACACUAUCAUUAACUGAAUCCAUAGGUUAAUGAGGCGAACCGGGGGAACUGAAACAUCUAAGUACCCCGAGGAAAAGAAAUCAACCGAGAUUCCCCCAGUAGCGGCGAGCGAACGGGGAGCAGCCCAGAGCCUGAAUCAGUGUGUGUGUUAGUGGAAGCGUCUGGAAAGGCGCGCGAUACAGGGUGACAGCCCCGUACACAAAAAUGCACAUGCUGUGAGCUCGAUGAGUAGGGCGGGACACGUGGUAUCCUGUCUGAAUAUGGGGGGACCAUCCUCCAAGGCUAAAUACUCCUGACUGACCGAUAGUGAACCAGUACCGUGAGGGAAAGGCGAAAAGAACCCCGGCGAGGGGAGUGAAAAAGAACCUGAAACCGUGUACGUACAAGCAGUGGGAGCACGCUUCGGCGUGUGACUGCGUACCUUUUGUAUAAUGGGUCAGCGACUUAUAUUCUGUAGCAAGGUUAACCGAAUAGGGGAGCCGAAGGGAAACCGAGUCUUAACUGGGCGUUAAGUUGCAGGGUAUAGACCCGAAACCCGGUGAUCUAGCCAUGGGCAGGUUGAAGGUUGGGUAACACUAACUGGAGGACCGAACCGACUAAUGUUGAAAAAUUAGCGGAUGACUUGUGGCUGGGGGUGAAAGGCCAAUCAAACCGGGAGAUAGCUGGUUCUCCCCGAAAGCUAUUUAGGUAGCGCCUCGUGAAUUCAUCUCCGGGGGUAGAGCACUGUUUCGGCAAGGGGGUCAUCCCGACUUACCAACCCGAUGCAAACUGCGAAUACCGGAGAAUGUUAUCACGGGAGACACACGGCGGGUGCUAACGUCCGUCGUGAAGAGGGAAACAACCCAGACCGCCAGCUAAGGUCCCAAAGUCAUGGUUAAGUGGGAAACGAUGUGGGAAGGCCCAGACAGCCAGGAUGUUGGCUUAGAAGCAGCCAUCAUUUAAAGAAAGCGUAAUAGCUCACUGGUCGAGUCGGCCUGCGCGGAAGAUGUAACGGGGCUAAACCAUGCACCGAAGCUGCGGCAGCGACGCUUAUGCGUUGUUGGGUAGGGGAGCGUUCUGUAAGCCUGUGAAGGUGUGCUGUGAGGCAUGCUGGAGGUAUCAGAAGUGCGAAUGCUGACAUAAGUAACGAUAAAGCGGGUGAAAAGCCCGCUCGCCGGAAGACCAAGGGUUCCUGUCCAACGUUAAUCGGGGCAGGGUGAGUCGACCCCUAAGGCGAGGCCGAAAGGCGUAGUCGAUGGGAAACAGGUUAAUAUUCCUGUACUUGGUGUUACUGCGAAGGGGGGACGGAGAAGGCUAUGUUGGCCGGGCGACGGUUGUCCCGGUUUAAGCGUGUAGGCUGGUUUUCCAGGCAAAUCCGGAAAAUCAAGGCUGAGGCGUGAUGACGAGGCACUACGGUGCUGAAGCAACAAAUGCCCUGCUUCCAGGAAAAGCCUCUAAGCAUCAGGUAACAUCAAAUCGUACCCCAAACCGACACAGGUGGUCAGGUAGAGAAUACCAAGGCGCUUGAGAGAACUCGGGUGAAGGAACUAGGCAAAAUGGUGCCGUAACUUCGGGAGAAGGCACGCUGAUAUGUAGGUGAAGCGACUUGCUCGUGGAGCUGAAAUCAGUCGAAGAUACCAGCUGGCUGCAACUGUUUAUUAAAAACACAGCACUGUGCAAACACGAAAGUGGACGUAUACGGUGUGACGCCUGCCCGGUGCCGGAAGGUUAAUUGAUGGGGUCAGCGCAAGCGAAGCUCUUGAUCGAAGCCCCGGUAAACGGCGGCCGUAACUAUAACGGUCCUAAGGUAGCGAAAUUCCUUGUCGGGUAAGUUCCGACCUGCACGAAUGGCGUAAUGAUGGCCAGGCUGUCUCCACCCGAGACUCAGUGAAAUUGAACUCGCUGUGAAGAUGCAGUGUACCCGCGGCAAGACGGAAAGACCCCGUGAACCUUUACUAUAGCUUGACACUGAACAUUGAGCCUUGAUGUGUAGGAUAGGUGGGAGGCUUAGAAGUGUGGACGCCAGUCUGCAUGGAGCCGACCUUGAAAUACCACCCUUUAAUGUUUGAUGUUCUAACGUUGACCCGUAAUCCGGGUUGCGGACAGUGUCUGGUGGGUAGUUUGACUGGGGCGGUCUCCUCCUAAAGAGUAACGGAGGAGCACGAAGGUUGGCUAAUCCUGGUCGGACAUCAGGAGGUUAGUGCAAUGGCAUAAGCCAGCUUGACUGCGAGCGUGACGGCGCGAGCAGGUGCGAAAGCAGGUCAUAGUGAUCCGGUGGUUCUGAAUGGAAGGGCCAUCGCUCAACGGAUAAAAGGUACUCCGGGGAUAACAGGCUGAUACCGCCCAAGAGUUCAUAUCGACGGCGGUGUUUGGCACCUCGAUGUCGGCUCAUCACAUCCUGGGGCUGAAGUAGGUCCCAAGGGUAUGGCUGUUCGCCAUUUAAAGUGGUACGCGAGCUGGGUUUAGAACGUCGUGAGACAGUUCGGUCCCUAUCUGCCGUGGGCGCUGGAGAACUGAGGGGGGCUGCUCCUAGUACGAGAGGACCGGAGUGGACGCAUCACUGGUGUUCGGGUUGUCAUGCCAAUGGCACUGCCCGGUAGCUAAAUGCGGAAGAGAUAAGUGCUGAAAGCAUCUAAGCACGAAACUUGCCCCGAGAUGAGUUCUCCCUGAUCCUUUAAGGGUCCUGAAGGAACGUUGAAGACGACGACGUUGAUAGGCCGGGUGUGUAAGCGCAGCGAUGCGUUGAGCUAACCGGUACUAAUGAACCGUGAGGCUUAACCUUACAACGCCGAAGCUGUU